CUACGGGAGGCUGCAGUGGGGAAUCUUGCACAAUGGGCGAAAGCCUGAUGCAGCGACGCCGCGUGAGGGAUGAAGGCCCUCGGGUUGUAAACCUCUUUCGGCAGGGACGAAGCGAUCAGUGACGGUACCUGCAGAAGAAGUCCCGGCUAACUACGUGCCAGCAGCCGCGGUAAGACGUAGGGGACGAGCGUUGUCCGGAUUCAUUGGGCGUAAAGCGCGCGCAGGCGGCCGCGUAAGUCGGUUGUGAAACCCCGGGGCUCAACCCCGGGACUGCAUCCGAUACUGCACGGCUAGAGGUAGGUAGGGGAGAUCGGAAUUCCUGGUGUAGCGGUGAAAUGCGCAGAUAUCAGGAGGAACACCGGUGGCGAAGGCGGAUCUCUGGGCCUUACCUGACGCUCAGGCGCGAAAGCUAGGGGAGCGAACAGGAUUAGAUACCCUAGUAGUC
rnacentral:rRNA from 1 species